rnacentral:rRNA from 1 species
CAAGCGUUGUUCGGAUUCAUUGGGCGUAAAGGGUGCGUAGGUGGCGCGCUAAGUCAGGUGUGAAAUUUCGGAGCUUAACUCCGAAACUGCAUUUGAUACUGGCGUGCUUGAGGACUGGAGAGGAGACUGGAAUUCACGGUGUAGCAGUGAAAUGCGUAGAUAUCAGGAGGAACACCGAUGGCGAAGGCAGGUCUCUGGGCUGACACUGACGCUCAUGCACGAAAGCGUGGGGAGCAAACAGG